UCAUCAUGACAUCUUCCUUUAUGUAGUAAAUUUAUUUUGUGUAUUACAAUGAAAGCUGUAAAUCAGCAUAAACAUGUCUGUCAGCAACAUUAAUCUUUAGUCAAAGACGAGGCUGUGCAAUGUUGUCAAGCUCCACAUUACACGCAAUAAGUGCCAUGUUAUAAAUUACCUCUACUAUAUGCGCUUGAUACUGUAUGUAGCCAAGCUUACUUCUUACCCACCUUAGCUCCACUGUCUGUCAUUUUUUGAAUUUCAUAAGCUUUAUAUUUUGGUGAAUGUUUCCAUUUUUCUCUAUAUUUUGGACAGGUGUUCCUGUGGAAACUGUGCAACCAUGCCCACAGAAGCUGAGAAUAUCUGCUGCUAGGAGAUACCACAGGUUACCAGACGGCUAUGGGAGAUCGAUGAAGAUUUACCAUGUAUGGUAGACCGUCCUGGGUUGGAGCCGCUCUGCCUCAAUGUGUUCUGCCUGCAACAUGUACCGCGCUGACUACGGUACUUUACGGUUGAGAGGAAUACACCAGUAUGUUUUGCUUCUUUGUAAAAACAUAGUUUCAAUCUGAAUAAAAGAUGUUAGACAGU